rnacentral:rRNA from 1 species
GGGUCAGGAGGUUGGUCGUGCCACCGGUACGUACUGGUCUCACUGAUUCCUCCUUCCUGAAGAACCGUAAUGCCAUUAAUUUGGUGUUGCGGGGAAACAGGACUGUUACUUUGAAAAAAUUAUAGUGUUUAAAGCAAGCUAACGCUUGAAUACAUUAGCAUGGAAUAAUGAAAUAGGACGAUCGAUCCUAUUUUGUUGGUUUCUAGGAUUGACGUA